UGCCGCGUGUGUGAAGAAGGCCUUCGGGUUGUAAAGCACUUUCAGUUGUGAGGAAAAGUUAGUAGUUAAUACCUGCUAGCCGUGACGUUAACAACAGAAGAAGCACCGGCUAACUCCGUGCCAGCAGCCGCGGUAAUACGGAGGGUGCGAGCGUUAAUCGGAAUUACUGGGCGUAAAGCGCACGCAGGCGGUUUGUUAAGCUAGAUGUGAAAGCCCCGGGCUCAACCUGGGAUGGUCAUUUAGAACUGGCAGACUAGAGUCUUGGAGAGGGGAGUGGAAUUCCAGGUGUAGCGGUGAAAUGCGUAGAUAUCUGGAGGAACAUCAGUGGCGAAGGCGACUCCCUGGCCAAAGACUGACGCUCAUGUGCGAAAGUGUGGGUAGCGAACAGGAUUAGAUACCCUGGUAGUCCACACCGUAAACGCUGUCUACUAGCUGUGUGUGNCUUUAAGNCGUGCGUAGCGAAGCUAACGCGCUAAGUAGACCGCCUGGGGAGUACGGCCGCAAGGUUAAAACUCA
rnacentral:rRNA from 1 species